rnacentral:rRNA from 1 species
ACGGAAGGCAGCAGUGGGGAAUAUUGGGCAAUGGGCGCAAGCCUGACCCAGCAACGCCGCGUGAAGGAUGAAGGUUUUCGGAUUGUAAACUUCUUUUAUCAGGGACGAAGAAAGUGACGGUACCUGAUGAAUAAGCCACGGCUAACUAUGUGCCAGCAGCCGCUGUAAUACGUAGGUGGCAAGCGUUAUCCGGAUUUACUGGGUGUAAAGGGCGCGUAGGCGGGGAUGCAAGUCAGGUGUGAAAUCUAUGGGCUUAACCCAUAAACUGCAUUUGAAACUGUAUCUCUUGAGUGUAGGAGAGGUAGACGGAAUUCCUAGUGUAGCGGUGAAAUGCGUAGAUAUUAGGAGGAACACCAGUGGCGAAGGCGGUCUACUGGACGAUAACUGACGCUGAGGCGCGAAAGCGUGGGGAGCAAACAGGAUUAGAUACCCUGGUA